AUAACCCCCUUGGAUUACAGCCGGUUGUUUUGCAAGCUCACAACCAAACUUGUUGUUUUACGAGCUCACAACGAACUCGGUCGGUUUUCCCAGGCUCACCGAUUAGAACCAACCCCGAUUGUUUUUCCGGGCUCACAAUCAAACCCUUACACACGUUGGUUUUUAACUUGGCUCACCAACCAACCUUAAUCUCCUUGAUUCAAUCCCCCGAUUGAACCAAGUAAAUACAAGUUAUAGAAAGAAAGGAAAAUAAGCUUCUCAAAAGCAGAUGUAAAACAAUAUAAUCAAAAGAGGAGUUUAGAAGCCCUCAAACACUUUUAAGCUGAAGUAGAGGAAUGGCUUCUUGAACUCAGGUCUCCUCUCGAAUGAGUAGUCGACUUGAAUGCAGGAGGAGGAGGCUUUAAUUGCUGGAAAGAUGUAGUUGGUUGCAGUAAAUGCUGAUCUUCCCCUUUUUCGUUGAAGAGCACGUUGCAGAGCUUGAAAGCUUGAAUGCUUGGAGUGGAAUGGUUGUUCUCUGCCUUGCUAC
rnacentral:lncRNA from 1 species